UACAGGAAGGGCGAGCGUUAUUCAUCAUUAUUAGGUGUAAAAAGUGCGUAGGCUAGGUUUUUAAUAAUUUUUUCUUGUAGGCGUUAAGGCUGUGCGAAUUAAUUAAAAAACUUAUUGAGUGCGGUGGAGGUUGAGGUAAUUGCUGAAAAAGGGGUGAAAUCCUAAGAAAUCGGUAGGAAAGCUAGUUGCGAAGGCAUUUUUCCACGCUGUUCUGGCGCUGAGGCACGAAGGUCUAGGGAUCAAACAGG
rnacentral:rRNA from 1 species